CAAUAGCGUAUAUUUAAGUUGUUGCAGUUAAAAAGCUCGUAGUUGGGUUUCGGAUGGGACUUGCCGGUCCGUCGUUUCGAUGUGCACUGGCCAGUCCUAUCUUGUUGUCGGGGACUAGCUCCUGGGCUUCACUGUCCGGGACUAGGAGCUGACGAGGUUACUUUGAGUAAAUUAGAGUGUUCAAAGCAAGCCUACGCUCUGAAUACAUUAGCAUGGAAUAACACGAUAGGACUCUGGCUUAUCUUGUUGGUCUGUGAGACCAGAGUAAUGAUUAAGAGGGACAGUCGGGGGCAUUCGUAUUUCAUUGUCAGAGGUGAAAUUCUUGGAUUUAUGAAAGACGAACUUCUGCGAAAGCAUUUGUCAAGGAUGUUUUCAUUAA
rnacentral:rRNA from 1 species